GAGCCGGUAAUACCCGAAGUCAGUAGCCUAACCGCAAGGGGGCGCUGCCGAAGGUAGGAUUGGCGACUGGGGUGAAGUCGUAACAAGGUACC
rnacentral:rRNA from 1 species